GGAGAGAUGUCGCCGCGCUGGGCCGAGCACUGCUCCAGCUCCCCUUUCCCCCCUUUGCAAGGUGAGUAGUGUCUAUGGGGCUCCCACUGCCGCCGAAAGUACCGCCACCCCGCCACCGCUGCUGGGUGCUAGCUCUAUGGCGAGGAGGAGGAAGAGGAGGAGGAGCGCGAGCUCAGAGACCCAAGUGCAUAAGUAAAGGGUAAAGUAUUUUUAUGACACAAAUCUACAAUCAAGUAUAACAUUUUGAUGCUCCGCAUCUAGACUCCUUGUGCUGUCACUAUGCCAGCAGCAACCGUAGAUCAUAGCCAAAGAAUUUGUGAAGUUUGGGCUUGUAACCUGGAUGAAGAGAUGAAGAAAAUCUGUCAAGUUAUCCGAAAAUAUAAUUAUGUUGCUAUGGACACCGAGUUUCCAGGCGUUGUUGCAAGACACAUUGGAGAAUUCAGAAGCAAUGCUGACUAUCAAUACCAACCGUUGCGGUGUAAUGUAGACUUGUUAAAGAUAAUCCAGCUCAGACUGACAUUUAUGAAUAAACAAGGAGAAUACCCUCCAGGAACAUCAACUUGGCAGUUUAAUUUUAAGUUUAAUUUGACGGAGGACAUGUAUGCUCAGGACUCUAUAGAGCUACUAACAACAUCUGGUAUCCAGUUUAAAAAACAUGAGGAGGAAGGAAUUGAGACCCAAUAUUUUGCAGAACUUCUUAUGACUUCAGGAGUGGUUCUUUGUGAAGGGGUCAAAUGGCUAUCAUUUCAUAGUGGUUAUGAUUUUGGCUAUUUAAUCAAAAUUCUGACCAACUCUAACUUGCCUGAAGAAGAACUUGAUUUCUUUGAGAUCCUUCGAUUAUUUUUUCCUGUCAUUUAUGAUGUGAAGUACCUCUGCAAAAAUCUCAAAGGUGGAUUACAGGAAGUUGCUGAGCAGUUAGAGCUGGAGCGGAUAGNACCUCAACACCAGGCAGGAUCUCACUCACUGCUUACAGGAAUGGCCUUUUUCAAAAUGAGAGAAAUGUUCUUUGAAGAUCACAUUGAUGAUGCNAAAUACUGUGGUCACUUAUAUGGCCUUGGUUCUGGCUCAUCCUAUGUACAGAACGGCACAGGAAAUGCAUAUGAAGAGGAAGCCAGCAAACAGUCAUGACAGGAAAUAGUCUUCUUAUUUUUAUUUUAUACGAGUUACACACAUGCUUGUAUAUAGNUUUUAUCAUCCCUUAAAUAAUAGGCAAUACCUCCCCCUCCUUUUGUAGACCUUCUCUGCUUUCAGUAAUAAGUAUGGCCUUUCUUAGCUAUGAUCUUAAUAAA